AAACAAAAGAAUAUUCCUGUGUCGUUGUCCACCUAAAUGUAUCAGUAUGAUCUGCUUUCAUGCCAAAAUUUAUGCGCCGCUUGCAGAGGGGAAAUGCCAACUAAUUUCAGAUUUGCUUGAACCAAAAGCGGGCUAAGGAAAUUAUUGGUUACUGCGUACGGGGCAACAAAGUUUCCACUCUGUAGUAAGUGGUAGUUCCGGUUUUGGUGUUCUUUGCCAAAGUAGAUGUCGAUUUUUUUUUCUGUAGUAUGCCUGUUACAUGCCGCCUUGGUCAUUGUUGAAUGCUAACUCCUAUGGAACUGAUAAUUCUAUUCUUGAUCCCUUAGAGAAAAUCGCUGAAAAUGAUAAGUCCAGGUAUAUGUUUGCGUUUAUGACUUCUGUGGAAGAUCAUUAUAACCACAAAAACAAAGAAUAAUGCUUUGCCGUUUUCCACCCAAAUGUAUCAGUGCUUUCAUGCCAAAAGUUAUUUAUCAUGCAUGUUCUAUUUUCAUUUCAUUAUGUUUUAGGUUCCAUCAUACUAUUAUGUUACUUAGAAAUAAAUUUCUAAUGCGUGUCUUUUUUCUUCUUUUGAUUUCUUUACCUUUUUUCCUAAGGAUCUAUUGUCUCUGUUUCUAAAUGACAUAGUUGACCUUACUCUAGCUAUGAACGUUCAAGUUGGAAAAGAUAACCUAUCUGGGACACUAAAGCAGGAUCUACAAAUGAAUUGGCCUUGUCAUAUACAUCUGUCAGUAGUCAUUGGAACUUAACCAAUGGAGGUCCCAUAAAUAACAAGCAAAUCCAAUGAAGGAUGGAUUUAUAUUUGUUGAGGGAAGGUUCCGAACAAAAGAACAUGAGAAUUGCCCACUGCAAGCUGCAGCUUGGCUAAGGAAAAAAUUCUUUGUUCUUAUCUGUCUGCUAUUCAGUGUCUAAAUAUGUGAAAUCAUAUCCAUUCACAAAACCACAUACAUAUGUUUUGGCAGCAAAACCAGCCAAUGUGAAACUGUAGAUUUCAGAAUCGCAAAGCCACAAAAUUCAGCUAAUUCUCAAAAUUGUGUCAAGAUGGUGCUCGGUGAGAUCAAACUCCUUCCACAUGAGAGCAUAUGGCAUAAACUCUGCUCUUUUCUUUUUUUCUUUCUGAGAAUUACUCCUCAAUUUAUCUGGUAGAUAUCCUUUUGUUAGUAAGAAAUCCAUCUAAUUUAAUGUGAUUUAGAUAUGCUUCUUCCGGUCAUUGGCUGAUUUUGUUGCUGAAAUCUGCGCUUACUUCUCUUUCUACCAUUGCUUCAUGUCAUUAGUUGAAUUCACGCCUUACAGUUAGCUGUUCGUAGCUGCAGAACCAUAGGGAAUUCGAUCCAAUGGUUUGUAAACUACUGGAACAAUAUCAUGUGAAAAAAUUAGUGUCCUGGUUAUAUUUUGCCUCUCUUUUAUGUGGUGAUGUUUUCUGCUUGCCGUCGUGUUUAUGGAUUAUUUGUUAGUCUGCUUUGGUUGUCAGAUUACCGCUGUUUGUGAUCUUGUAACAGAUUUCCAUGGUGUUGCUUUUUUUGCCCGUGGUGCUUUCUGUUGUUUCCAUACAUGUUAAAUCUGGAGUACGUACUUAUAGAAAUGAAAAUACUGUUUUAAUUCCUGCCACAGUGAAGUCGCUGUGUAGGUAAUGUUCACAACAGAUUUGAAGAUCAUAGUUUUUCUAUUUGCACGAUCUUACUUUUUUUAAAACUAUUUGCACGAUCUUACUUAGAUGUAGUAGACCUGGAGAUAGAUAGCCUUGGGCACAAAAUUGGGGAGUGGCUUAACCUAAACACACAUGAGUUAGUGAGUCCCACGAUCUUACUUUUCAUCUGAAUUUUAACCGGUGGUGUCGAUAUUUAAAGCUAGGCCCCGGCUUACUCAAAUGGCAGCGAGGUUCGGUGAUCCCUUGCAUACCAUCCAGAUUUCUUAAUUUGGUCCAACUUUUACACAAAAACUAACAUUCCCAAUAAGUUAUUAAUGGCGAUAAUUUUGUUGGUUCUGUGUCUUGAUUCCUGUUUAGAUUCCAUACACAAAGCAAGGAAGUAAAUAACUCCAUUCUCUUAUUUCUAGGUAGGAUGUAUAAGGUUUUACACAUGCAUGAAAUAUAAAUCAAGAGGGUUGCGUGUUGAAUGAGAGAUAUAUGAGUUUGAUUUUAUUUUUCUAAGGUUUUAAAUGCUUCUAGAAUUUUAAAAAUACGAUUGCUUUGUAAGAGUGUUUGUCACACCAAAGUGUUAUGUAUUGAUAACCAAGAAGAAUGGGUGAAGAGGAUGGAAUAAGUGACUGUAACUACAUUACAUUUUUGACAUAUUAGGUGUGCAUGGGCAAGUACUUAGAUGAUGCUAGACGGGUCCAAUCGCAGCAAUAAGAGCCAAAUGUAAGUUAAGAGGCGGGCGGAGUGGGUAUAGUAAGUGACACAAACCUUAUCAAAGAUUGUCUAAUCAAGGUAGGGGAAGGUGCAUAGAUGAUGGCAAAGCGAUGGUGAGUACGAUGAUGAUGGGGCUAAACAACCAUUGUUGAUCUAAAGGCACACCCGAAGGGGACGGUGGAGAGACCAUCAAUGUAACAGUACCUAUAGUAAGACUAACCAAUGUAGGGAAAGAUACAAGCACAAGGACGAAGAAACAACGAGGCAACUGAAUCACACGGUCACCUUUUUCCUAGAGAUUUGUCAAGGGGUGAUGAACCUUUUUGUAUACUGAAUUAAUCACAAUGAUAAAUAUAUGCACCUGAAAUUUGAGUAUGAGUCAUGUGGGUUUUAUUUAAAGUGUAGAUAUAAUGUGACAUUUGUCACAAGAAUCAUAUGCUACGCGUGACAUACAUAACGUAAAAUAUAACAAUAUUAAGAUCAAUUUUUAUCUAUAUAUAUUAUUGAUGUACGUGAAUAACUCAUACAAAUUAUUACUAUCUAGAAAAUAGAAUAAGGUUUUUUUAAUUUUAUAAAUAAAUUUGAUGCAUCUGAUGAUACGUGCAUUUGCACGUGCACCAUUACUAGUAUUAACAAGGGAAAUCAAGUGGGCAUGCCAUAUUAAUCCCCUAAUAACGAGGUAGUGGGGAGACGCCGUACGUGGGUUUACCAGCCGCCACGGUACGUGUGCUAACCGUUUAGGAGAUAGAUAGCUAGCGUUUCCGUGAUUUUAUGAUCGGAUUAGAUCGGUUUCAGGUUACAAAAAAUAUCUGUUGUCGACGGCGAAGAGCGCGAGGUGAAACACGACGUGCUGACGGCGGGCUUUUCUCGAUGGCAAGUGACCGGCGGUGCUCGCCGACGGUCGUCGUUCAUACGGUCCACCUCCCCGUUUUAUUCUCAUCAGCAGGUACCCUAGGGAUUAGACGAGCGUUGUGCCUGGUUGCUCGUGGUACAGCCGUGAGCGGUUGGUGGUCAUCGCCGCGGUGCUGCAUGCAUUGGGUGAUCGCCACCGGGUUGCUCCAUUCUGACGGCGCCGUCCUCCCCUGGUUCUACUUUAGUCUCCAAUUAUCUACAAACAUGUUCAAAUAAGUUUACAUUCUUAGAAACAUUCUUCAAUUCUUUCACAGUGACAGGUUAUCGUCGAUUUGCUGCAGAGUAAGCAGUGGUUGUUUCCUUUUUGAUGCGGUCUGCAUCUCCAUCCACCACGUCAGACCGCAACCAGGCCUUCGCCCCUGGGGCUCUUCCGUAUCGCCCCCUCUCCGUAAAUUUGCAUGUAGUGAUGAAAUCUACAUGCACUACCAGAAGGUUACAUGUCUGUACGGACAAUAUUGGGGCAAUAGGUGGACAUCAAGACAAGAAUGUGGCUAUUAAAAGAAAGGAAAGGGCAGCCACACCGAGCGAUGAUGAUUUUGUUCACCCGCCAGCCCGUGUGACCAAGGCCUCGAAAGCUGCUAAUAGGAAGUCCAAAAAGGAGUGAGGUGGGCAGUUGCUACAUGGAGGGUGCAGACCCUCGAACUGGUGGCAUUCCUCCAAGCAGUUCAGAUAUUCCAUAUGGGACCUAUCCUUCUUGCCCUGCACCUAUUCUUAGCAUGCAUCAUCAUCUCGCGGGUUUCUUUGAUCAUUUGUCUGAGGCACAACAGGUAGCGGCCAUGUCGGCGUUGCGAAGGUGCGAUGACGACAUCCAUAGGCUAGUCCUGAACAUAUGUGAUCGACAGAUGAUGGUAGCUGAGGAAAUCAAGAGCAUAGUGCUGGAUUCUCGAUCGAACGCACCGCCACCACCACCACCACCAAGCAAAAAGGCUGCUCCGACUGGCGCUCAAUUUCCCUUGUCAAGUGUGGAAACAGAUUCAAAUAUGCAUGAAGAAAGGCAGCACCCAUGCCCCACAACUGAUGUUGCUAACUCUGGAAAUGUGAUGCUUAAUGAGGGGCGUGACAAUGUUUUAGAUACAUGCAACCUUAGUUGCACUCAGAUUCUUAUGGCUGCUGGGUUUUUGAAAUCUCGACAAGAUGAAAUUUUAGAUGGAACAUUUGGUAGUCAGUGGAAUUCACAGUGUAUCUAUAAUGAUCCCAGCCACGAAGUUCUAUGGAAUGGCAUGUGCAAAACUUGCUAUGAUAAUGGUGAAAUGGGCAACUUAUAUAAUGAAGGACAUUUCGCUGAAGAGCGUGUGGAUUCCUCCACUAGUGCUGACGAAGAGUUUACUGGACUCGGUGCUCCUAUUUAUGACGAGACACCAAAAGAACAUGAGAAUGUACCUCCUAUUGUCUUUGACAAGACACCAGAUGAUGCGACUGGCUCGCUGACCCGAUUAGCAAAUAUCACUGAAAAUGUGAUGGAACCAUGGAAAGAGUCUCCUCAACUACGAGAUGCUGCGAUGAAAAAGAUGGUUGGUCAGCACGAGUGUGUACACACCCCUACGUUUGAUCAGACACCGGAGCACCUACGUCCGGAAACUCGAUACAAGUCACGUUCACUCCGUGACAUGUGGUCACGGUUGCCAUGAAACCUGGUCAACACAUUCAUGGUGGCAUUAGGAGAAACGUCGCAGGUCUCCAGGUCAUCAAUGAGCUCCAUGAUAACAGGGUCUUUGUUCUUGUGUGAACGAAUGUGCUUCAACUCGCACGCAUCAGGAUUCAGAGUAUGAUUGUGCUCUAAUAGUACUUUCUCAUAUAUCCAUUCUUUCCCUUUCUUCUUCAUCUUAACCGCUGCCUUGCAGUUAACCCUCUUGGACAUCUUCGCACGUUUCCGUUCCUCCCCGGGCUUGUAGAAUGUAGAAUUACCUUCCCGAGAGCAUGCAUAGAGACGCGGCAUCGGCUUCCUCUUCAGCUUGGUAAUACCAAAACCCGCUGCUCUUGCAUAUUGUCGAUAAAAGUCAUACCCUUCUUCAUCUUAACCGCUGCCUUGCAGUUAACCCUCUUGGACAUCUUCACACAUUUCCGUUCCUCCCCGGGCUUGUAGAAUGUAGAAUUACCUUCCCGAGAGCAUGCAUAGAGACGCGACAUCGACUUCCUCUUCAGCUUGGUUCGCCGGCGGGGGCGACAAGCUUCGGCAGGACGUGAGGCCGCCUAGCCGUGAAGGAGGCGGAGCCAGCCGCUACCCCGUCGAGGGUGUGACGCCGCCUAAACGUGGAGGCAACUAAGCCUCGGAGCCGUUAAGGCCGUGGAGUUGUAGAUCCGACGCCGUCGAGCUGCGGAGCUGGCGCCUCGACGUCGCUGAGCUGUCGAGGCCACGAAUGGUUUCGGAGGAACAAGAGAGAAGCUCUCUAUAACUGAACUAGUGUUCUAGUUUAUACUGCUACAUGUGCAGAAUUGAUAAGAUUUGAAUGUCACUUGUACAUGUGCAGAGUUGAACAGAUUUGAAUGGCAAAUGCUCAUGCUUUCUUGAA